ACCCGAAAGGUCGCCAAUUCCUUCUCUCCAGAGAUGCUGCCUUACCCGCUGAGUUACUUCAGCAGUUUUUGUCUACUUAUUUUAGAUGAGGGUAUCUGCCUCCCCC